rnacentral:lncRNA from 1 species
CACGCAUAUAUAUAUAUAGGCUACUAUACUAUCGGUAGCACGGAGCGUUCUGUGCUACCAAGUUGUUUUCGAUGAUGCGGCUUUCAAAUUGACGAUCAUAUAUAUAUAGGCUACUAUACUAUCGAUAGCACGGAGCGCUCCGUGCUACCAAGUUGUUUUCGAUGAUGCGGCUUUCAAAUUGACGAUUGGCUUUGUUAGACUUGAUCUACACUAUUGAAAGUAUUUAGAAACUAAAUUUCAUAAUUUUUUGAUAUCAUUUACCUAUCAAACAAGUAGUCUAAAAUUGAACGGCUGAAAAUAAAAAUCUCAUAAAAAAUGAUGAUAAAAGAUUUAAAUUCAAGAUCAGAUAUACUGAUCUUACUCUAAAUAGUGAAAAGAAUUUUCUAUAAAAUUUUCAUCGCAUUUGGAUUGUUUUACACCGUUAAACUCACAAACACGCCACAUCGGCCAUUAAAAUGGUCAAUUUUGAGAUCUUUUGAUCAAUAGUCAAAUGAUGUCGAAAAAAUUUGAAAUUUAGUUUUCAAAUACUUUCAAUAGUGUAGAUCAAGUCUAACGGAGCCGAUCGUUGAUUCAGAAGCCGCAUCAUCAAAAACAACUUGAUAGCACGGAGGGCUCCGUGCUACCGGUAGUAUAGUAGCCGGACUCUAUAUAUAUAUAUAUAUAUAUAUAUAUAUAUAUAAAAUAAGAAACUAAAAGGCUUUAUUUAUCCUGUUAAGUUAAUCUGGACUAAACGUGAGUUAAAUAUCUAUCACAGUUAAAAAAAAAUAAAAUGCCAAUUUUGCCCUUAACUUAAGAGCAAAUAAAAAAGGUUGGUGACGGUAGAGGGGUAUAUUGGAAAAGACCAAAAGUUAAAAUACUUUUUAUACCCCUGACUUUAAGGGCAAAUAAGAAAAAAAAGUGAUGGUCGAAGGGUAUAUUUGAAAGGGCAAAAUAGUAAUUUUAUAGAGUUACUUAACAGAUUUUAACUCUAUGGGUAUAUUAGAAAUAGUUUGGAACGUAGGAGGGAUAUUUUCAAUAUUAGCUUUCUGAGAGGGGUAAAUCGAAAAGUCGAAAAUUUUUCAGGAGUAUAUAAGUAAUUGCCCCUU